rnacentral:rRNA from 1 species
GAUGAACGCUGGCGGCGUGCCUAAUACAUGCAAGUCGAGCGAACGGACGAGAAGCUUGCUUCUCUGAUGUUAGCGGCGGACGGGUGAGUAACCCGUGGAUAACCUACCUAUAAGACUGGGAUAACUUCGGGAAACCGGAGCUAAUACCGGAUAAUAUUUUGAACCGCAUGGUUCAAAAGUGAAAGACGGUCUUGCUGUCACUUAUAGAUGGAUCCGCGCUGCAUUAGCUAGUUGGUUAGGUAACGGCUUACCAAGGCAACGAUGCAUAGCCGACCUGAGAGGGUGAUCCGCCACACUGGAACUGAGACACGGUCCAGACUCCUACGGGAGGCAGCAGUAGGGAAUCUUCCGCAAUGGGCGAAAGCCUGACGGAGCAACGCCGCGUGAGUGAUGAAGGUCUUCGGAUCGUAAAACUCUGUUAUUAGGGAAGAACAUAUGUGUAAGUAACUGUGCACAUCUUGACGGUACCUAAUCAGAAAGCCACGGCUAACUACGUG